rnacentral:rRNA from 1 species
UACGUAGGUGGCAAGCGUUGUCCGGAAUUACUGGGUGUAAAGGGAGCGCAGGCGGGGGAGCAAGUCAGCUGUGAAAUCUAUGGGCUUAACCCAUAAACUGCAGUUGAAACUGUUCUUCUUGAGUGAAGUAGAGGUUGGCGGAAUUCCGAGUGUAGCGGUGAAAUGCGUAGAUAUUCGGAGGAACACCGGUGGCGAAGGCGGCCAACUGGGCUUUUACUGACGCUGAGGCUCGAAAGUGUGGGGAGCAAACAGG